rnacentral:rRNA from 1 species
GACGAACGCUGGCGGCGUGCCUAAUACAUGCAAGUUGAGCGCUGAAGGCUGGUACUUGUACCUACUGGUUGAGCAGCGCACGGGUGAGUAACGCGUGGGGAAUCUGCCUUUGAGCGGGGGACAACAUUUGGAAACGAAUGCUAAUACCGCAUAAAAACUUUAAACACAAGUUUUAAGUUUGAAAGAUGCAAUUGCAUCACUCAAAGAUGAUCCCGCGUUGUAUUAGCUAGUUGGUGAGGUAAAGGCUCACCAAGGCGAUGAUACAUAGCCGACCUGAGAGGGUGAUCGGCCACAUUGGGACUGAGACACGGCCCAAACUCCUACGGGAGGCAGCAGUAGGGAAUCUUCGGCAAUGGACGAAAGUCUGACCGAGCAACGCCGCGUGAGUGAAGAAGGUUUUCGGAUCGUAAAACUCUGUUGGUAGAGAAGAACGUUGGUGAGAGUGGAAAGCUCAUCAAGUGACGGUAACUACCCAGAAAGGGACGGCUAACUACGUG